rnacentral:rRNA from 1 species
UACCUACCCUUUAGUGGGGAAUAACUUCGAGAAAUCGAGGCUAAUACCGCAUAAUAUCUACGGAUUAAAGCAUUUAUGCGCUAAAGGAGGGGCCUGCGUCUGAUUAGCUAGUUGGUGAGGUAAAAGCUCACCAAGGCGACGAUCAGUAGCUGGAUCGAGGGGUUGACCAGCCACACUGGGACUGAGAUACGGCCCAGACUCCUACGGGAGGCAGCAGUGAGGAAUCUUCCACAAUGGACGAAAGUCUGAUGGAGCAAUGCCGCGUGCAGGAUGACGGCCUUCGGGUUGUAAACUGCUUUUAUAUGGGAAGAUUAUGACGGUACCAUAUGAAUAAGGACCGGCUAACUACGUGCCAGCAGCCGCGGUAAUACGUAGGGUCCAAGCGUUAUCCGGAAUCACUGGGCGUAAAGCGUUUGUAGGCGGAAAUUUAAGUGAGAUGCGAAAUCUUGUGGCUCAACCAUAUAGACGGUAUCUCAUACUGGGUUUCUAGAAGAUAGCAGAGGUAAGUGGAAUUAGUAGUGUAGCGGUAAAAUGCGUAGAUAUUACUAGGAACACCAAUGGCGAAGGCAGCUUACUGGGCUAUAUUUGACGCUGAGAAACGAAAGCGUGGGGAGCGAACAGGAUUAGAUACCCUGGUAGUCCACGCCGUAAACGAUGUG